rnacentral:tRNA from 1 species
GGCGCGGUGGCUCUGAUGGUCACGUCGGUGGUGCUCAGGCUGCCACGCAAGGCGUAUGCCAAACGCCCGUUCGAUCAUUACGGGCUCGCGCUGC